UAUAUGCAUAGAAAAAGAGAGAGAGAUAUACGAAAUAGAUGGUUAGUUAGAUUCAAAUGAUUUGAAUUAAAGAUUUGUUUUUAUUAUAAAAUAGUAUUUUUAAAAUAGUUUUAAGAGGAUAGUUAGUUAGGUUAUACUAAGGAAAACGUCUAAUACUACUCACAUUGAAAACCUAUUCUGCCUCUUCUCCUCCAUAUUGUGCUACCUUCACAUUCCAAAAUUCUUAUGUUCUCAUUUCAUUCCAGCCAAAUACACACCUAAAAUCAUCACCACCUUCUCCUUGUGUAGUACAUCAUCAACCGUAAGGGUGAAUAUGAUUCUAAGACUUUGGGAAAAUCAAAGGAUAGCAAAAAGAAUAAAAGUGUUCGAGUGAUUUGAAUGGUUGAUCGAGUGUUGGAAAUCACAAUUCGAAAUCCCUGCCACCUCAAUCAUUCGUUGGGUAGUAGUGACGAGAUAACAAGUCUUAAGCAGCGGGAUUUGAGGUAUUAGACAGGGAAGUAUGUAUAGUGAGCAGGGUCAGUUCUGGUAUGUAUACUGUGAGCGGCUACGGGCGGACAAACGAUCUUGAACGCCGGUGGUGCCUUAGUUUUAUUUUAAGCAGUUGAUAAAUCUAACACAGUGGAAAUGCAUUAUUUAAAAUUAUUUACUUACUGUAUCUUGUUUUACAAAUGAAGGAUCAUUCUCUGUUGCAUUUUGAUUUUUUUUAAAAUCCACUGUUGUAUUUAAAUUAUUAUUUUUUUUUUAUCUUUUCAAAUUAUGCAUGAAAAUAGUAUUUUUGUAAAAUAAGGCAAAAUA